rnacentral:tRNA from 1 species
ACUCUUCUAGUAUAUUGAUUACAAUUGACUUCCAAUCUCUAGAAUCUGGUUCAACCCCAGAGAAGAGUA